rnacentral:lncRNA from 1 species
CUCCCUUCUGGCUUCACCAUCUGCUGAGAGCUACUUCCACUCAAUAAAACCUUGCACUCAUUCUCCAAGCCCACAUGUGAACUGAUUUUUCCAGUACACCAACGCAAGAAACCUCAGGAUACAGAAAGCCCUCUGUCCUUCCAAUAAGGCAGGGGGUUCUAAUUGAGCUAACACAAGGCACCUACGGAUGCCUAAAUUAAAGAGCAAACUUGUAACACACGCCCACUAGAGCUUCAGCUGCAAACCGCUAGACACUGCCGUGGGGUCAGAGCCCCACAGCCUGCCGGUCUGUAUGCUCCCCUAGAGGUUUGAGCAGCUGGGCAAUGAAGAGGUGAGCUACAACUCCCAGUGCACACCCUGCGAGGGGGACAAGGGAACUUUUCCUGUUUUAGAAAUACCAAAGCACAAUCAACCCAUCAAACGAAAAAAACAACAACAGCCUAAAAGACAAGGUUGAUGUGGAGGAGAAAAAAAAGACAGGUCUCGCUCUGCCACCCAGGCUAGGAGUGCAGUAGAGUGACUACAGUUCACAGCAGACUCAACCUUCCAGGCUCAAGCAAUCCUCUCACCUCGGCCUCCCAAGUACCUGGGACUACAGGCACACUCCACCAUUCCCAGCUAAUUUUUGUAUUUUUUGUAGAGACAUGGUUUUGACAUAUUGUCCAGGCUGGUCUUUUACUGUCAAAUUGCUAUAUUUUAUUGCUUUUGUUUUUGAAUAUUUUUGAUCCAUGAUUGAGUCCAUGAACAUGGAACCUGUGGACAUGGAGGCCCAACAAUAGUACUUAAUGUCUUUCUAACACAGCUACCUUAUGAACUCUGGAAAAAAUUGUAUGCCAGCCAAAGCAGUGGAACAACCAUAUUCUACUCACUGGAUUGUCCUCAACUGUUCAACAAUACCUCCCAAACUUGUUCCUGACUUCCGCCCAACAUGCAAUGACUCCAUUCUCAUUGUGCUCUUACCUGUUUCACUUAGUUGGAUUAUUUCUGUUCAAAAAUAUGUUUGAUUUUUAAAACUCAGGCUUUCACAGCUUUUAAAAGUUGUAUAAACCACUGUAUUUGUUUGAUAGAUGUGGGUGAAUUUGGCUUCCUACAAAGCAAUAACAAAUCAUCCACAUAGGAAAGUUACCAUUUCUGCAGAUGGAAAAAUGUGUACCUUGCUUCUCAUAUCAUUGUUUUCAUUUUGCAAGAUAUGAAUUUCUUGAAUAGUGGUAUCACCUACAAUUACUUAAAAAAUUAAAAUAAUUUAGGGCACCUUAGCUUGAUAGCUUUCUAAAGAUAUAAACAAGUUAUUUGGUUUAAUGAGGGGAAAAAAAUUGGUCUAAAGGAAAAUGGACUGACAGCUUUGUUACAUACUAAAAAUCAACCAAUAACUGUCUUUUAAUGUUGUUGGUGAUAGUUGUUUUGUUUUUUAAGCAGGAAACACACAGAUGUACUCUAAAAAUCAUUCUUAGUAGAAGUCUUUAAUAUCAUUUUACUUAUAGAUACUAAGUAUAAAUCUUCCACUUAAUCUGUGUUAAAAUAUGAUAUUCUUUUAUUUGUCAGUUAAUAGUUUGUAAGGACCAGAAAGUAACCAUUUCUAUAAAGCAGUUCUCUAGACAAGGUAAAAUGGUAAACCACCAUUAGAUGCUUUUUCUCCUUCUUCUCUGUCACGUGAUAUUAAAAAAGACUGGCCUGGGCAUGGUGACUCAUGCCUGUAAUCCCAGUAAUUUGGGAGUCCAAGGCUUUCAGAUCACCUGAGGUCAGGAGUUCGAGACCAGUCUGACCAACACGGAGAAACCCCAUCUCUACUAAAAAUACACAAUUAGCCGAGUGUGAUGGCGCAUGCCUGUAAUCCCAGCUACUCAGGAGGCUAUGGCAGGAGAAUCACUUGAACCCGGGAGGUGGAGGUUGCAGUGAACCGAGAUCAUGCCAUUGUACUCCAGCCUGGGCAACAAGAGCGAAACUCCAUCACCAAAAAAUAAAAUAAAAUAAAAAAUAUCCCAAUAACAGGGUUUUCUUGGGGCAUGUACCAUUGUGCUAAAUCUUCCAUUGAUGAACAUAUUGCAAUCUUUCCAUUGUUGCUUCACUUCUCAGCUUUUUAUGCAGAUAUAUUUUUAAAAUUAUCAGCAGACAAAACAUGUCUCAUCCUUUUCCUCUUUAUUCAUAUUCUUUUCAUUUGCCAUUUUUCAGUAUUUAGAGUAUGCUGCCCACGAGUCCCACGUUAUAGACUGGCUCACUGAAAGACUCAAACACUUCCUUCAGUCAAAUAUUCCCAACUGUUAUUUCUAACAAUUCCUUGUUCCUUGGUAGCUUUAUUAUGUUGGGCUUUUGUUUUCAAAUUCUGCAUAUUGAUUUAUAACUAGCUGUUAUUUCUAGCUGUGUGAUCUUAAACCAGUCACAUGAAUUCCCUGGGUUCUAAUUCUCUUAUCUGUAAAAUGAGCAAACUAUGAGAAUUCAUCUGUGUUGUUAUGAAAAUAAAAUAAGCUAUUGCUAACAAAACUCUUAAAAUAGUGCCUGGCCACGGUGGCUCGUGUCUGUAAUCCCAGCACUUUAGGAGGCCAAGGUGGGGGGAUCACGAGGUCAAGACAUCGAGACCAUCCUGGCCAACAUGGUGAAACGCCGUCUCUACUAAAAAUACAAAAAUUAGCUGGGUGUGGAGGUGGGCACCUGUAGUCCCAUCUACUUGGCAGGCUGAGG